AUAAAAACACGUGUCAUGAAGUUUGACUUUGUGGAAGUGGUAGCCGUUGUAUUGUCAGUGAUUAUUUUAAAGCCGUUUCCCCUGUCUAGAUUCAUUUUGAUAUUCUCAUCUUUACUCAAGGAGGUCUCGGCGUAAUCAUUCAUGGUGUCAGGCGAACCUAGUGCAAAGAAACUCCGACCGUUCGAGGAGAAAAAGGAUAACCCAUCAGAAAAUAAAAACAACUUCAGAGAAAGCUCCAAAGAGGAAAACUCCAGAGAGAACCUCGACCAAACCCAGGACUGGAAAGUGGGGGUGUGACCCUGAGAUCGGAGAUCGAGAGCUCUGCACCAGUGAUGUUGCGGUGCCACAUUAACGGACACCCGCGUCCCACUUGCCACCAGUGGUUCCGAGAUAGACUGACAGAAAAAACCCAUCAGAUCAACAAGGAGCACACAGUCAUCUUCAAGAGCGCCAGCCACAACGACAAUGGCCUGUACUACUGCUGUGCCAAGAAUGCAGCCGGCCAUGUGUGCAGCAACGCCAACUUCACCCUCAACAUUAUAGGUGUUUUUGUCCAUUCACAUUUAUCAUGGGUGUGUGUGUGUUUGUUGUCUGUGCGCAUUUGUCCUGUGUUUGUGUUUAGUCUAUGUGUGUGGGCUCCGCUUCUUUGUAAAUGCUGCCUCAUAGUCCUGUUAUCUUUGAUGACAUCUCACACACUGUGGGUCCCCUGGCAAUUUUGCCACAUUACUACCAAGCUGUCUUUUCUCAUUCCUUCCUUUGCAUCAUGGUCUUCAAAAGAAUCACAGUCAAUGUGAUUACACACACACACACUUCUGAGCCAGGCUGCUCUGUUGAGCCAGGCAACAGUGUGACAUUAAUAAAUCACAAAAGAAAGGUCAUGGUGUGUUAGCAGGAGAGCUUUUCAUAAAUAUUUCCACACCUGCCAUGGUGUGUUUAGUUACCUGAUUGACCUGUUAGAGGCUAGGCCAGGCGGCACUAUGAGAUUUGUUCUGCAGUGAGUGUGUAGCUGUAGACCAUUCGUGUGGAGAGCGAGAAAGGGUUGUUCGGGCUGUCCGCAUAGGAGAACUCUUGCAAGAACCAGUUUUGGUUCCAGGUAGCACCCUCUAGAUAGAACUCUUCCAUGUAGGACCCUUUCCACAGAGAGUUCUACAUGGAACACAAAAGGGUUCUCCUAUGGAGACAGCCAAAGAACCCUUUUGGAACCCUUUCUUUUCCUAAGCGUGUAUAAUGUGAUUACCACAGGCCUUACCGGUGUGUAAGUAUCCACCUCCACAGCCAACCACUCACACACACACUCUAAAUCACACCAAUCCACUUAUUGUACAGGUACUGUAAAUAUCAGUUCAUUCCCCCAAAUUCUGUUGAACUGUAUCAGUCCAUGUAUUUAUGUCCUGGUUUAUGUAUACAUUUUAGCUUAUUAUAUAGAAUAUGCAUCUCAUGUAUGUGUGUGUGGAAAUGUGCCCCUGAGCACACUACCACACAGAAUAGAGUACCCAGUCAGGAGCACAUCUGUGGGAGAAACCUGAUCUCCACUCUAAUUAGUCACCUGCGCUGCUUACACACGCCCGCCCGCAUGCACGCACCACACCCCACACACACAUUCCCACAGGAUUAGUACCUGGAUGGAAUGAAAAGAAAGAAAGAAUAUAAGAAAGAAAGAAAGGGGGAAAAAAAUAGAUAACUGUUGAGUUUCCACCCACUGCAAUGUAAAAUCAAAUAAAAUCAAAUGUAUUUAUAUA